rnacentral:rRNA from 1 species
CGUGAUCACUCCUACGGGAGGCAGCAGUGGGGAAUAUUGCACAAUGGGGGAAACCCUGAUGCAGCCAUGCCGCGUGUGUGAAGAAGGCCUUCGGGUUGUAAAGCACUUUCAGUAGGGAGGAAGGUAGUGUAGUUAACACCUGCAUUAUUUGACGUUACCUACAGAAGAAGCACCGGCUAACUCCGUGCCAGCAGCCGCGGUAAUACGGAGGGUGCGAGCGUUAAUCGGAAUUACUGGGCGUAAAGCGCAUGCAGGCGGCCUGUUAAGUCAGAUGUGAAAGCCCGGGGCUUAACCUCGGAAUUGCAUUUGAAACUGGCAGGCUAGAGUCUUGUAGAGGGGGUAGAAUUUCAGGUGUAGCGGUGAAAAUGCGUAGAGAUCUGAAGGAAUACCAGUGGCGAAGGCGGCCCCCUGGACAAAGACUGACGCUCAGAUGCGAAAGCGUGGGGAGCAAACAGGAUUAGAUACCCUGGUAG